rnacentral:misc_RNA from 1 species
AGCUCCUCUCCAAAAUCCGCCGCCGAAAGGCGGUCAUGAUAUCCCAACCCUUGCAAACGGUUCAUCCUGCUAAAUCCGGCGGCGGUGGCAACUCUUCGCCGGCGAACUCCGGCGAGGACAUCGGAUCGACUUCGACCUCCUCACCGGAUUCCAAGAAUCCGGGAUCCGUGGAGAUGGGAACGGUCGCACAAUUCGCCGAUCUGACUGAGGAGAACG